AGGAGCUGCUUUUCAUUUUGCGGUGCGUUCCAGUUCCAACUACUAGAUUGUAUGAAACUCCACAAAAAGUUGCGGAGCGGACGUGUUAGGUGAUUCUUCGAGAGUUCGUCAUCUUCCCAGACGUUAUUGGCCAUCGCGUCUAUCUCGUCUAUUCAAUCUCAUAACAAUUAAGGGAGGUGGUAAUUUUAAUGAUGUCCGAAAAAGGGAUGGAGAAAACGGGACAAGGGCUCAUUCGGGUGCUUCGAUCGUUACAGCGGCUGGUUCGAUGUUAACCACUAAAAUAACAGCCUAUUUUUCAUUCUACAUGUGAAAUCAAAGGAAUUCAUAAUUUCUACCGGAGGAAAAGAAAAAUGGCCUGCCAUGCGCUCGAGGACAAUGAACAUCUUAAUUGGCGAAAUCGAAUGCAUUCAAAGCUUAAAAUGGUCAACAAGAAAACGUCAAAUUCAACACAAGAUGAAGAUUGUGGCCUUACUUUUGUUUUUGCGUUUUUCGAUCGCUGUUGUUAUCGAGAGAAAUGCGCCGCAGAUGGAGAAAAUAGUUCACUUCGCAUCACGACUAAUCAACCCGAGAAAAAUAAACAGGAUUACGAUCCGUCACGCUGCAAGGCUCAUAACCACACAUUGAGAAAGUGGAAUUUCACUGCUUCGGUAACGGCUGUUUGCAGCAAUGAAAUUCCUCCAUCGAAGGACCCCUUGAUUCCUCACAACGCCACUAGUUUAAUCGUCAAGAAAAGAUUGCAGUCCGACAUUUGCUGCUGAUCUUUCACGAGUUCCCAGUCUAUUAUUGGGGAACUACGCCAAUAAAGGAUGCCUUACAGAACCCAAUUUCGUUUCAACUUUUUGGCUGCGCGUCUUCUGUUACUCUUUUAACGUCCAUCUCUCGUUUCUUCAUCGAGGAGCGAACGAUUGAUAUCAGUAAAAAGAAAUAAUUUCGAAGGAUCUGCAACAAGAGCAAGAGCAGCAUUAUGCGGCUCAAUAACGCCAAAGACAGCCCAUUGCGAUCCAGCACGCGCACAUUCAAACAGCAGCCAAUGGUCAACAGCUAUAACGAACUAGAGAAUUGAUCGUGCACAUUGCACAAGCGUGAUUCUGGCAAUGGCGAAUCCGAAAAAGAUAAUGCUUCUCCCAGUGAGAUCUGCACCAUCUGCAGCCGGAUCAGAGCAAUGAAGAUCGUCGUACGAACAGCAAUGGCGUCAGCCCCGAAGCGUCUCGAUCCUAUGGCGUCAGUCGGCCAUUGAUUCCCUUCCAGCAACAUCAGCAGCGGUUUCAUUAUCGUUGGCUCCCAUUUCCCUUAAAUGCCCUAAGUUGGAAAGUAAAGGAGCCUCUAAUUAUACCGUUAAGAAAAUAUUUGACACCAAACCAUUCGGCUAAAGACCACCUUGCCAACUUGUACUGAUUUUGUGCAACGUGGGUGUUUAUGUUGUGGUAGACAAUUAUAUAUUUUUUUUUUACUGUAUCGUAUACCUACAUAGCUAUCAAAAUUUCAAACUAUGUGUACAAGGACAGUUAUGGCAUAAAGGUAGCAUGCUGUCCUACAGUGCGAAUGGUCUCUGGUUCGAAUCCCAGAAUGAUUAAUAUUUCUGGGGUUGGUCGUUGCAUGAACAUUGAUACAGGCGAAGGAAAAUCAUUUAUUCAUCAUUAUUUAAGUCCAAUACUUAUUCCUAAAUUCACUAUUAGUAACAGCAGUACUAAAGUAUGUGAAAUAGCUCAAUGGAAGGGCAUCGGCCUCAGAAGCCGAAGGUCUAGGGUUCAAUACCUGCAAUCGGUAAAUAUAUAUGUGUAGGAAUAGAAUAUGUGCAAUGGCUCAGUGGUUGAGCAUCGGCUUCAGAAGUCGAAGGUUAAAUACUCAUAAUCGCCAAGUGAAGCAUCCCCGUGCAAACGUUAAUUUUAAUAAUUAAAAUAACGUAAAAUUGCCAAAUGUCUUUGUCAUCUCCGAUGUUUGUUCUAUUGCCCGCGUUCCAGAUUUAUCCGUGGACGGCAGCGUCCAAGCAACAUUUUCCAUUCUUGGGUUCGAACCACACACCUUUCGCACUAUAGGCCAGCAUGCUACCGUUAAGGCAUAGCUGUUCUUACGAACAAUGUUUUAGAUUUCGAUAGCUAUGUAAAUAGGGACUCCGCACUAGCUUAUUAUAGAAUGCCUACCGAAACAACAUAAGGCAGCAUUGGCGUAACGAUAU